AGCUAAUAGAUACCCGGGUAGUCCACGCCAUAAACGAUGGGUGCUAGACGUUGGCGAGCUUGCUCGUCAGUGUCGCAGCUAACGCGUUAAGCACCCCGCCUGGGGAGUACGGCCGCAAGGUUGAAGCUCAAAGGAAUUGACGGGGGCCCGCACAAGCGGUGGAGCAUGUGGUUCAAUUCGACGCAACGCGCAGAACCUUACCAGCCCUUGACUUGUGACUCGCCGGCUCCAGAGACGGAGCCUUCGGUUCGGCCGGAGUCAACACAGGUGCUGCAUGGCUGUCGUCAGCUCGUGUCGUGAGAUGUUGGGUUAAGUCCCGCAACGAGCGCAACCCUCGUCUCCAGUUGCCAUCAGGUAAAGCUGGGCACUUUGGAGAAACUGCCGGUGACAAGCCGGAGGAAGGUGGGGAUGACGUCAAGUCCUCAUGGCCCUUACGGGCUGGGCUACACACGUGCUACAAUGGCGGUGACAGUGGGAUGCGAAGGGGCGACCCGGAGCCGAUCCCGAAAAGCCGUCCCAGUUCGGAUUGC
rnacentral:rRNA from 1 species